rnacentral:rRNA from 1 species
UACGAAGGGGGCUAGCGUUGUUCGGAAUUACUGGGCGUAAAGGGCGCGCAGGCGGCCCUCCAAGUCAGGCGUGAAAGCCCCGGGCUCAACCCGGGAACAGCGCUUGAGACUGGGGGGCUUGAGUUCGGGAGAGGAGAGUGGAAUUCCCAGUGUAGAGGUGAAAUUCGUAGAUAUUGGGAAGAACACCGGUGGCGAAGGCGGCGACCUGGUCCGUGACUGACGCUGAGGCGCGAAAGCGUGGGGAGCAAACAGG